rnacentral:lncRNA from 1 species
GGUUGAUUUAGGGGUACUAUACUUACCACGAGUGCAAUAUAUAUAUUUUUUUUAUAGCCCAAAAGUUAUACCCAAAAUUUAUACCAGGAGUCCUUCUAGUUGAACCAUAAAGUUACAAAGUAGGUCCAUUCUCUUUUCUCACUAUUUUAUUCUCUUUUUAUGAGUUACCCAAAACUAUUAUUUAUUAUUUCUGUUUUGUAAACAAACUUUCAUCAAAAGUCAUGCCUAUUAUUUUAUUUACCCAAUAGGGAACCAUAGUUGAGACACCCAAGUAAUCCUGCACAACUCCUAAAAAUUUUUCAUAGCAAUCAGAAUCAGAAUCAGGGCCCCUAAAACUCAGGGGGGUAUUUCCUACUUAACGAUUAUCCUUAUAUCUCGCUGUCUAAAUUGAAAAUUAUCGUUCCGUCGACUCAGCAGGCCUAAGUAGGUGACGAAGCAGGCCUAGCCUACUUUGGAUUCCCCCGCGACACGCGACAGAUCCCGGGGAUCCUGUCGCGACACGCGGGCGGUUCCAAAUCAGGCUAUAAAUAGAGGGGCCUAGGACUUGAUUUCUGGCAUUCGUUCGACGUUCAAAUUCGUUUCCUACGUUGAGUUAUUAUUCGUUUACUACCAAACACACACCACACUCGAAUCGCUGCCGCGGAACAGGGUAAUUACUCGAUCGCUAUUGCGAUUCCUUUUCCGGGAUCAAUAUAUCCAAAGAAUGUCUAAGUGCCGCCCAUAUUGGGUUAUGCUUUGUCGUUUGUCGAUAAUUCGAUAAAUGAGUUGAAGCAUUAUACUUUGUCGUUUGUCGAUAAUUCGAUAAAUGAGUUGAAGUAUUAUACUUUGUCGUUUGUCGUUAAUACGAUAAAUGAGUUGAAGUAUUGCACUUUGUCAUUCAUUGUGAGAAUUUGAUCUCGUAAGUUGUCGUAAAAGCUGUAUUGAUCAUUAACCCAGUUUUUGUGAAAUUCGUUAAGAUUCGAAUCUCAUGACUACCGUUAAGGUUGAUUUAGGUUUUUCACCAAUACGUAUUCCAUUCUGUUAAACCACCAAAAAUACUCCCACCUACACCCUUACAAUCAAAUAAACUAUUAAAUCAUCAGAAGAUCCAGAAUAAUAAAGAGCAUGCUUAAUUAUCGGAAGAAAUAGAAUCAAGAAGUUGUUAACUCAAUCCUGCAUGCUGAUUUGUAAUUACAGUAGAUUGGAGUAAGGAUUGGAUCCGGCACUAAAAGACUUCAAGAAGUGGCUUAUCUUAUUCAUUAAAUCACAUUAAGAAUUAUUGUUUUUAUUAAAAGCUACCUUUGUAAAACAUGGAAUUUAUUCCAUCUAUUUAAAUAAAAUCCGGUGUUUCUA